ensembl:lncRNA
CUUAGUAGGAGCAGAUGUUAAAUUUUCUGAAAGAUAAAAUUAUCUGAAAAUACGAACAUUUUGCAAUGUCACCUAUUUCCUACGCUGAUCUGGGGCUUUGUAUGUGACUUCUAAGCGUUCCAAAUUAUUGUGAUAAAGCUGGCCAGAGCCAGCUUAGAGAUCCAUCUGGUUGCACAGUGACAUGAAGCAGCAUUUAUGCCCUGCCCGCUGCAGACCCUCAGUGUCUGCAAAGCUGAACACUUGGCUAGCCUGGCCUUUACUGCCCACUGCUGCCAAAGAAAGAAAAGGGGUGCCAAAGGGCUCAGACAAAAUAGAGACAAGAAUGCAUGAGCCUUUUCUUGGAGUUCGUCAGUGGCUAAAGGUGCCCACGAGGCUACGUGCACUGUGCUUCAGCCAAGGCAGAGCAGACGUGAAACUCAAGCCCAAACAAGCUUCUUUAGUAAGUACAGUGAAAUCUGGAGUCGUGAAGACACAAAGGUCAGGUCUACACACCUGCUACACACCUGGAUAAUCUGUAAUGUCUGCCUAGACUGGUCAAAAGCUGGGACGCUCAGCAGUUCCUCCAUUGCAGAGAGCUUUGAGAAAGCAUCUCAGGGUUAUAAAUGGAUUGUUGCCCAACAUUGAUGAAAAUACUGUUCCAUUUUAAUUUCCAGUCCUGCAGCCAUUGCCAGCUGUAUUUAGUGAUAAACAUAUGACAAAUGUCAUUAGCUUCAGUGCAAAUAUUUGUGUUUAAGAUGAAGUCCAAGCCAGAGUAAUUAUAAGAUCAAGGCUUUAUAGCAAUACACUUUUAAAAACAAUUAUAUAUAUACACACACACAUAUAUAAAUACAACCUGAGAUUUCCCUGGUAAUCUGAGUUGCUUCAAAGCUGAUCAGAUACUCUGGGAGCAAUUUUACAAACAGUCAAAGAUGCUGUUUACUUCAUAUGUAAAUCGUGUUGCGUAUCUUGGGGGGGAGGUUAAAAAUGCCUCUUUAGAUUUCAUUUUAUUGCCAAAAUUGUUCAAAGUGGGGUUUUGACAAAUGGAAACUGUUACACAGAGAGUACUUUAUAGACUUUAGCAUUAGCCUCUUGAUAACACCUGUAAGCACUGUUCACUCUUACGUACAUAACAUUGUUUUGAAUUUUUCUUGAAACCUCUCUGCACAGCUGUUAAGAUUGAUUUUGGGCAGGAUGCAAGCCCGUAAUGUUAGCCUGUAUGUUAGCAGCAAAGUAAUGCUGAGCUAGAGCUACUGUAUGUGGCCUGGAAGUUCUCAGUUAUCUUGAAGUCUGUGCACUCUACAGUGUGUAGCCACUGAAGUUAACAAUACCAAACUCCAUUUUUCACCAGAAAUAGGUUUAUUGCAUAACUAAAUUAUUGAUAUCAUCCAUCCCAUACAAAAAUGAAGCAAAACAAAUGUACAUGCUUCAAAUUCCAUGCUUAAUCAAUGCUACAAAAUUCUCCAGGGCAGAAAACUGGUAUCUGCUAUAGAGCAUGGGUAUGGUUGUGUGUACAGAAGUGAGGGGGCAAAAUUGAUGCAAACUCUAACCACACUGUUAACUGGAAAGCUUAACGGGAUGCAGAUUUAGAAGGGCAGAUGCUGUGUCACUUUUUUUUUUUUUUUUUUUUUUUUGUACUGGGCAAUGUUUGUCCCCAACCAUUGCUACCAGGAUUCUAGUGCAUACCAGUGCAGUCAGUCUCCUGUGUAUCUCUCCAAUGGGCUUUGUCAACUCAUCUACCAGUUAAGUGGCAAUCUGGAUGUCAUGCUGCAAAAAUACUACGUUUAGGAUCUGAUUGUGCAGGUUUUGGGGGGACCUUCAUUGAUCCUUGGAGCAUUUUAUUGCAAUACCUUGAAAUACCUCUUCUGACAGUAGGAUAUAAACCAUGCAAAAGAUUUGUUUUUGUUUACUACAAAGAUAGUCAGCCUACUCUUUUAUCCCAUGUUGUGAUAAGGAUCAUAUAAAACCCUGGUACUGAUGCUCUCUUGGCAGUGACGCUGAAUAGAAAGGUUUCCUUGUGUUUACUGACAGAGUUUUAAACUUUGGUAAGCUAUUGCCUAUAUAUAAAGUUGAAAUGGAACUAACAGAAAAAAUUCAUAUAUAUGAGGCAGUUACAGGUUUGCACACUGUGCUGAGACUUGUAUGUGGGACACAUUUGUUGCUACUGGUUUUUAAUGCAUUUUCAAUUCUGUUUUUCUCUGUCGAAUAAAACAGAUGUCUUCAUUAUAUGUGCA